UCAUAUUCACGCACCAGCUCACAGAAACAAUACUAAUACACACACCAGUGAGAGAGAGAUAUAGACGCACACCCGCAGAGAGAAUCAUAGGAGAAAGAGAGAAUCGGGAGAGAGUGAAUAAAAAAGGGGUUGAAUAGUGGUCGGUUGGCGUGAACAGUAAACGUUGAACGGAGUAGGGGGAAGAACAGUUUUUCCCGGUGAGCUUGUCACUGGAAUAGUGCCUCAUCGUAGAGUCCGUCCACUCCUCCCUAAAACUCAAUCAAAACCAGCUUCAAACCCCCUAAAAUUAUGACGCUAGUGCCCGACUACUCCGCCGCCACCGCUGUUACUAUUUCGGCAAUGAAUUUUUCGCCUGGAAUGAGCCAAAUCGAUCAAAAUCGUCCCAAAAAUAUUGAGAAAAUAGUGAGUUCACCUUGGGUUUUCGACAGUUAAGUUAGAGGUCUGUUUGUGAUUUGGUAUUGGAAAAAAAAGGAACAAAGGGGAUAUAUCGAAGUUGGAGUUGUUCGUUUGGUGAGGCUCGAUCUGAGAUUAUGGACGCGAUCCAAUCGAAAGGAGCAACUUUAAUCGAAAGCAACAUUUGAGGUUCAAUUCUAUCUUCUCUAUUUUUUUUGUAGUUUUUAACAUAAUUAUGAAUGAUUUAUGUGUUUGGCAUGUUUGAAUCUUCGUUAUGUGUGGGUUGAUGUUGGAUUUGGAUAUGAAAACUUGAUCGGUGGAUUGUAUAUUGAAUUGGUUUAAUCGUGUUAAAAAAGUUGAGGCGCGAAUUGAAAAUUUACUAAAGUGAAUUAGGAUUAAUUUUGAUUUAUUGUUAUUUUGAUUCAUUGACGCCAUCGAUCAUGAUAGUGCCAUGAUAGGUCGAGUUAGGUAGGCAAAAGUAGGCUGGGUAGGCAAAGUUGAGGACCUGUGAUUGUUGAAAUGAUGAAAUAUUUGUGGAGUGGUUUUGAUUUAUGCACUGAGAUCUAUUGUAUUCAUUUGGCCGGGGAAUGCCCCGAGGGAUUUGUAUUGAUUCACCGGGGAAUGCCCCGACGUAUCAUGUAUUCGGAGGACGUCCGUGAUGAAGGCCCGAAGCAUCGGGUAAGGCAUUGGACAUAGUUUAGGAUUAGUGUAGGUUAGCGUAGGUUUAUUUUUCAGUACCUUUUUUAUCAUUUCGGGUUGUAAUAAUUGGACUGGACAUUAUUAUUUUGAUUUUUGGAUUGUUGUUUGAUGUUUGUUUAUGUGCUUUGUGUGGUUUAUAUAUUUGUGGUGUCUAAUUAGCCGAUACUCUCCACCAAGAGACCAUGGUCGAACCACGGGACCGAGGGGUGCCUAACACCUUCCCCUCGGUCAACAAAAUUCCUUAGUUGAAACCUCUGUUCGCGGAUCAGUUUUACAGAGUCAAAAUCGUUUUGAAAAGGAUUUUCCAAAGGUGACUUGGCACACCGGAUUAUGCCAAGUGGUGACUCUGAGUUUUGAAUAUAAAUAAUUCUUUUCGAAAUAAAUUUUUAUUUUUUGUCACUUUGAUAAUAAAAAUCCUUUCAAACUUAAAACGAAAUCUUUUUUGGGUAAAAAAAGGGUGUGACAGCUCUGGCGACUCUGCUGGGGACUUUUUUUUAGAAUUCAAGCUUAUUUUGGAGUUGUAUCGACUUAGUUUGGCACUAUAGGUAUAUAGACAUUUUGUUUGUGUUGUUUUGUGUUAUUGUUUAUCAUUGUUGAGUGCCUACGUGCUCUUUGUUUACAAUUUUUAUUUUAUGUGUUACCGUUUUAUAUCUGGCAUCAUGUGUAUAACCCGAGCCAUUCUUUCUGCAACAAGUCUAUAGUAUACGCUAUGUACACGACCUCUAGUUGAGUCACCUUUAUCUUAGGGGGGAGUCUUCGACUGGUAUGGAGUGGGUGGAAAGCUAAAACAACCACUAUCGACCAUAUGCUCUCCCGAACAGCCUUGUUAGUGAAUCCCAGCGUAGGUCAGCUUUUAGGUCAUGCUUAUCUGCAUCAUAUUGAGACCUAGCGGGACUCACUUGGUCUUUUGUAGGAGACUCACCUCUAAGGCAUCCCUACGUGCUAAAUGUUACAUCUUUGAGGGUAACGUGGUCAUUUGACGGACUAAUUUAAGGGAAAACAUGUGCUAGAGGUAAAGUGCGUAGACAAGAAAUCAUUUGAAAAAAAAAGGAGUUUCGUAGCUUUUAGUGUUCUUUAUGACUUUUGUUUCCCACAAUUCAAAAAUUCAAAAAGAUUUCUUUAUUUUCUGCACUCAUUUUUUUAAAAACCAAAACAUCAAAAAGAUUUCUCACUUUGUCUCCUUUAGCAUGCAUUCAUAAUUAGAAAUUUUCAAAAAAAAAAAAAAUUAGCAGUUUUUAUAAAAGAAAUUGAAAAAUGGUGAAAGAUUUGUACAUUUCAUAUAGUGAAAAUGUCAAAAAGAUUUUCCUUCAUAAUUGUUGGUGUCAGUUUAGCUGAAGUAUCUAAUUAAAAACCCAAAAAUAUUUUAUUCAUUUGUCUUUGGUUGUGUCUCUUAAGUUAGGGUCAAUUUGUUAGACUAUCGUUAAUUGUACAAUCUGGACGAACUACGCACCCGUGAUUCUGCUCUCUCCGGAGUGAGAUACAUAGGUAACCUAUUUUGGGUUGGGGAUCUUAUUUCAAAAAUUCAAAAAAAGAUUUUCUUCACUCUUCAUUUAGAGUAGGUGUUUCAUGUACAUCUUUAAAAGAAAACAACAAAAAAAUAUUUCCCUUUAAUAGGUUCAGGUUUCAUUUUCAUAUGAAAUUCAAAAUCAAAAAUCAAAAAAUAUUUUUUUCGGUAAUCAUAGAUUUCAUUUUGUACAGAAAUCUGAAAAAUUCAAAAAGAUUUUCUUCACUCUUCACUUAGAGUAGGUGUUUCAUAUACAUCUCUAAAAAACUACAAAAAGAUUUUUCUUUAAUAGUUUGAAGUUUCAUUUUCCUAUGAAAUUCAAAAUCGAAAACCCUAAAAGAUUUUUAUUUGGUAAUCAUGGGUUUCAUUUUGUAUAGGGAUGUUAAGACUAAAAAAUGCAAAAAAAGAUUUUCGUCAAUUCUUUUGACAAUUUGUUAUUUUCUUUUCUUCUUAAAGUUUCAAAAAGAAAACAAAGAGUUCAAUUGGCCGUUUUGGCACGACUUAACGAACUACGCACACCUGAUUCUCCUCUCUCGGUGGUGAGAUACGUAGGUGCCCUUCUUGGGUUCGGUGAUCUUUUCAAGAAAAAAAAGGGAGAGAGAGGUUUUGAAAAAUGUUGAACUCUAACAUAUUUGUUGCCUCUUGUUCAGUUAGUUUAAGGUGGUUGGUUUGUGGCUUACUGGUUGGUCCUCCAUAUCACACCAAAUCCAAGGAGGGGUUAGUUGUGUCCAACAAGGAUAUAGAAAGUGGCAUCAUGGAUGAAACAAAGAUUCAGGAAAUUGAGAGUUUAAAGAAAGAGAAUUUGAGACUGAGACAACAAGUGAUGGAAAUAUACCGAGCUUGGACCAGUGGGCUGCCUCCACCUCUGUUUCCCACUUUUGGCCCUGCAAAUACCUUGAGUCUUCCACCAAAAUCGUAAAGUCAGUUUCUGUCUUCUUAUCCACAAUGGCAUGCUCCUGUCCCUCAACAUCGUCCUCGACCCCCACGAAUUUACCAAGGAACCUCUAAAUCCAAGUUUCAUCUAAGGCUAGAGUUAGUGUUGUAAAACAUUUCAUAAGUGAUCUUUAUCGUGCAAUUUUGUAUUGCAUGCUAUGUACUAGCAUUUUCAAAAAUUGAUAUGACGAAGGCAUUUCAUUCUGCUUUCCAAAUAUUGUGUCAUCCUUUGUUUACCCCAUUUGGGCCUUAGUGUUAUUUUCUUUUAUACCCCUCUUUUGGAAUCAAGAUAAAGUCAACAAAAUCCAAAAAAAGUGUCGAAAAAGAAAAAAAAGAUGAGUGUCAAGAAAAAUAAAGUCAGAAAAGUCCCAAAGAUAAAAAGAGUCGACAAAAGAAAAAAAAUAGAAUCAAGUGAAAGAACAAGUUGCCAGAACUACGCAUGACUUGAUUCUCCUCUCUCGAGGGUGAGAUACGUAGGCUGCCUUACUCAGGGCUCGGUCCAACCAAAUAAAUAAUUUAGAAUUGCCCAGUCAAAAAUUGGGGCUUGAGUUAAUCCUCAUUGUUUGAGUCGAUUCCAAAAGUUGUAAGUCCUACCCCACUUUUAGUAUUGUUUGGGCCCCAUGCCAUCCUUUAUUUUCAACCCUAUCCAAAAGCCAAGUUACAAUCAAAGAAAGACCUUCAGAUCAAUCUUUGAGAAUGUUAAGGCUAAGUAUGCAAUGGAUGUGAUGACACAUUUUGAGAACUACUCGUCUUCCUCAGCAUAAAAAAUCAGGAGAGAAAUAAAAAUGAGAGAGUUUUAUUGGUGAAAACCCUCACGGGCACCAUAAGGAGAUGGUAAAUUAAGAAAGAUAAAAAUGAGAGAGUUUUAUUAGUGAAAACCCUCACAGACACCAUAAGGCGAUGGUGAGUUGAGAGAAAAAUGAGAGAGGCUUGUUUGAGAAAACCCUUCAAGGUGCCACUAGCCGAAUGAGGUCUCCGAAUGCAAUGGGUCUAAGUAAGAAACUCAGUUUCAGGGCCAUUAACUCAACAACAAUUGGUAGAAAGUUUGGAUGAAAAGAUCAGGCUGCUUAAUCCAAAAUGCACAGUAUAAUUAUUAGAGUUGACUGUCAUUUUUAGAUUAAUUUAUUGUUUCUUUGUUACAAAUGAGGAUAUUCAUUUUCUUUCCUUUCUUUUCUUUAUUUUUAUUUUAUCUUUCUUGAGUCAGUUAUCCAAAUAAAAAAAUUGUCUUUCUUUUUUUUCUUUUCUUGUCUUUGAGUCAAGUCCAUGUCAAAACAAGUGAGAAAAGAUUUUAAAACUGGCUAUCAGCUUCUUCAAUUGCACAAAGCAAGACAAAAGGGACAGCACAUGCAAAAGACAUGAUUGUGAGCCGAAAUAAGGCAUACAAAAAUUGUGUCAACAGACAAGUUUGGGAACUCAUGAAAAUACCAAGGUUCAAAGGGUUUAUAUGAUGAGCAUGACGAAGCAGAGAUAUCAUUUUAUUUCAGAGUCACUUUUAAUAAACUGAAUUUAGGUCAAUGAUGCAGCAAGUCAAUGAUAAAUGCUAAUGGUUGGAAGCAAGGUUAAAUGUGAUGGGGCAAGAGCGAUCGUCGCGAAAGCUAAAGCCACAAACCAGCCACCGUGUUUUAAACUCACAAGUUUUCUUUGAUGAAAUAGGAAACAUAUUACCUUCAAAGCAAGGACGUCAGAGCAUAAAUAUCAAGGCUUUCAAUGCCUCACGUUUAAAUAUGCACGAAGAAAUGUUGCUGCACAGGUUUGGUAAUCAAAUCAUUGUAAAAUUCAUCAUCUUAUAUCCCUCGGAGACACAUUUUCUUGUCCAGGGAUUUCAUUUUUCAUUUGCUGGGUGAUACACUUCUUAAAUUGAUCCUUCACUCCUAAAAGACGUACCUUUUAGUCGAGUCAUCCCCUUUGACCCCAAAAGACGUACCUUUUAGUAGAGUCAUUUCCUUUGAUUCCUAUAAGACAUACCUUUUACUCGAAUCAUUCCCGCUUGACUCCUAGAAGACGUACCUUUUAGUCGAGUCAUUCCCCUUAACCCCUAGAAGACGUACCUUUUAGUCGAUUCAUUCCUUUGAUUCCUAUAAGACGUACCUUUUAGUCGAGUCAUUCCUCUUGACCCCUAGAAGAAGUACCUUUUAGUAGAGUCAUUUCCUAUGAUUCCUAUAAGACGUACCUUUUAGUCGAGUCAUUCCUCUUGAGGCCUUGACCCCUAGAAGACGUACCUUUUAGUUGAGUCAUAUCCCUUGAUUCCUAUAAGAUGUACCUUUUAGUCGAGUCAUUCCCCUUGAGUCCUUGACCCCUAGAAGACGUACCUUUUAGUUGGGUCAUAUCCCUUGAUUCCUAUAAGACGUACCUUUUAGUCGAGUCAUUUCCUUUGAUUCCUAUAAGACGUACCUUUUACUUGAGUCAUCACCCCUUGAUUCCUAUAAGACGUACCUUCUAGUCGAGUCAUUCCCUUGAUUCCUAUAAGACGUACCUUUUAGUCGAGUCAAUUUCUUUGAUUCCUAUAAGACGUACCUUAUAGUCGAGUCAUUCUCCUUGAUUCCUAUAAUGAUGUGACUUUCACAAAAGUCCUUUGAUAAUAAACUGGGGCAAAAUUUAAUUCUUAUUUUUGGAACUUUACUUUUCUGGCAAACAAAAUUUCUCUUUAUGAAAAACUUUGUUUGGGAUAAUUUUCUUGUUAGUUUUGAUAUGAUUUCAGAAGCCCGCCUGAAGAACAGGGUGAUGAGAUAGAAAGUCAGGAGCCCACCUGAAGAACAGGGAUGAUGAAAUGGCAAGUCAGGAACCCGCCUGAAGAAUAGGGUGAUUAAAUAGUAAGUCAGGAGCCCUCCUGAAGAAUAGGGCGGAUAAAUGGAAAAUCUAGAACAAGGUGAAAAAAAUCUGAAAAAACAAGCAAAAAGGUGAAGCAAUUGAAAGUCAAGCAACAAGUUGAAUAAAUUGCAAAUCAGGAGCCCACCUGAAGAAUAGUGUGAUGAAACUUAAGUCAAGAGUCCAAAAGAAGAUGCAUAGAUAGAAUUUCUGUAAUUUUAUUUAUGUUUUUAACUCGUAAUUUUCAUUUUGAUGUAAUGAUAGAGCUGUGGACCGAAACCUUGAUGGAACCUCACUCGACUCUCCAACUCGGUAUAGUCCUUCUCUUUCAAAUAUUUUGAAAUACUGGUCCCUUGAUUCCUCCAUAACUUCGGUAGAUAGGUUGUCCUAAGUCAGGACUCGGUUGUCUUUCUUUCUUUUGUUCCUUCCUUUGAAUAAUGAUCGGGUCAAAAUUCUGUCUUGUUGUCUACUAUUUUGUCUGAAAACACUUCGUGUUUACAUUCAAAGGGGGCAUGAGGUAGACACCUAAUUUUGUCCCUCCUAAAGACCCAAGUUACACAUUUUAUCCUCGUUUUACCACGCGCCCUACCCUAUGUAAUUAUUCCUACACAAAAUGAUAAAUAUAACAACCCUUAGCAAAUUUUAUCUUUGUUCUAACAACCUCCUCAAUUAAAAGCGGACACCUCACCACCCCACUACCCCAUCCACGUGACCCUCCCUCCUCACAUUUCUUGACCACAAAGGAAAAUAAAAACGGACAACUGUACAAAGUUGUGGCCAUUUUUGCUCUCUUUUGGAUUUGAGAGGAACAAAAACUUACAAUAUAUUUCCCAGGGGCCCCACAGAUUUUCUUCCAUUAGAAAUACCCUCACAAGUCAUCUUCUUCAGAUGGACAAUCUUCAUAUUCACGCACCAGCUCACAGAAACAAUACGAAUACACACACCAGUGAGAGAGAUAUAUAGAUGUACACACUCAUAGAGAACCAUAGGAGAAGGAGAGAAUCGGGAGAGAGCGAAUAAAAAAGGGGUCUGAACAGUGAUCGGCCGAUGUGAAUAGUAAAUGCUGAACGGAGUAAGGGGAAGAACAGCUUUUCCCGAUGAGCCUGUCACCAAAAAAGUACCUCAUCGUAGAGUCCGUCCACUCCUCCCUAAAACCCAAUCGAAACCAGCUUUAAACUCCCUAAAAUUGUGACGCCAGUGCCCGACUACUCCGCCGCCGCCACUGUUACUGUUCCAGCGAUGGAGUUUUCGCCUAGAAUGCACCAAAUUGGUCAAAAUCGUCCCAAAAAUAUCAAGAAAACAGUGAGUUCACCUUGGGAUUUCAACAGUUAAGUUAGAGGUCUGUUUGUGAUUUGGUAUUGGUGAAAAAUGGAACAAAGGGGAUAUAUCGAAGUUGGAGUUGUUCGUUUGAAGAGGCUCGAUCCGAGAUUAUGGAUGCGGUCCAAUUGGAAGGAACAACUUUAAUCUAAAGCAACAUUUGAGGUUCAAUUCUAUCUUCUCUAUUUUUUUUUAGUUUUUAACAUAAUUAUGAAUGAUUUAUGUGUUUGGCAUGUUUGAAUCUUCGUGAUGUGUGGGUUGAUGUUGGAUUUGGAUAUGAAAACUUGAUCGGUGGAUUUUAUAUUGAAUUGGUUUAAUCAUAUUAAAAAAGUUUGGGCGCGAAUUGAAAAUUUUCUAAAGUGAAUUAGGAUUAAUUUUUAUUUAUUGUUAUUUUGAUUCAUUGACGCCGUCGAUCAUGAUAGUGCCAUGAUAGGUCAAGUUAGGUAGGCAAAAGUAGGUUGGGUAGGCAAAGUUUAGGAUCUGUGAUUGUUGAAAUGAUGAAAUAUUUGUGGAGUGGUUUCGAUUUAUGCAUUGGGAUCUAUUGUAUUCAUUUGGCCGGGGAAUGCCCCGAGGGAUUUGUAUUGAUUCACCGGGGAAUGCCCCGACGUAUCAUGUAUUCGGAGGACGUUCGUGAUGAAGGCCCGAAGAAUCGGGUAAGGCAUUGGAUCGUAGUUUAGGAUUAGUGUAGGUUAGCGUAGGUUUAUUUUUCAGUACCUUUUUUUCAUUUUGGGUUAUAAUAAUUGGACUGGACAUUAUUAUUUUGGUUUUUGGAUUGUUGUUUGAUGUUUGUUUAUGUGCUUUGUUUGGUUUAUACAUUUGUGGUGUCUAAUUAGCCGAUACUCUCCACCAAGAGACCAUGGUCGAACCAUGGGACCGAGGGGUGCCUAACACCUUUCCCUCGGUCAAUAAAAUUCCUUAGUCGAAAUCUCUGUUCGCGGAUUAGUUUUACAGAGUCAAAAUCAUUUUGAAAAGGGUUUUCCAAAGGUGACUUGGCACACCAGAUUAUGCCAAGUGGCGACUCUGAGUUUUGAAUUUAAAUAAUUCUUUUCAAAACAAACUUUCAUUUUUUGUCACUUUGAUAAUAAAAAUCCUUUCAAACUUAAAACAAAAUCGUUUUUGGGUAAAAAAAAAAGGGUGUGACAGCUCUGGCGACUCUGCUGGGGACUUUUUUUUAGAAUUCGAGCUUAUUUUCAAAUUGUAUCGGCUUAGUUUGGCACUAUAGGUGUAUAGACAUUUUAUUUGUGUUGUUUUGUGUUAUUGUUUAUCAUUGUUGAGUGCCUACGUGCUCUUUGUUUACAGUUUUUAUCUUAUGUGUUACCGUUUUAUAUCUGGCAUCAUGUGCAUAACCCGAGUCAUUCUUUCUGCAACAAGUCUGUAGUACACGCUAUGUACACGACCUCUAGUUGAGUCACCCUUAUCUUAGGGGGGAGCCGUCGGCUGGUAUGGAGUGGAUGGAAAGCUAAAGCAGCCACUAUCGACCAUAUGCUCCCCCGAAUAGCCUUGUUAGUGAACCCCAGCGUAGGUCAGCUUUUAGGUCAUGCUUAUCUGCAUCACAUUGAGACCUAGCGGGACCCACUUGGUCUGUUGUAGGAGACUCACCUCUAAGGCAUCCCUACGUGCUAAAUGUUGCAUCUUUGAGGGUAACGUGGUCAUUUGACGGACUGAUUUGAGGAAAAAUAUGUGCUAGAGGUAAAGUGCGUAGACAAGAAACCGUUUGAAAAAAAAAAAGGUGUUCCGUAGAUUUUAGUGUUCUUUAUGGCUUUUGUUUUCCAUAAUUCAAAAAUUCAAAAAAAAAUCUUUAUUUUCUGCACUCAUUUUUUUAAAAACCAAAACAUCAAAAAGAUUUCUCACUUUGUCUCCUUUAGCAUGUAUUCAUAAUUAGAAAUUUUCAAAAAAAAAAAAAAUAGUAGUUUUUAUAAAAGAAAUUGAAAAAUGGUAGAAGAUUUGUACAUUUCAUAUAGCGAAAAUGUCAAAAAGAUUUUUCUUCAAAAUUGUUGGUGUCAGUUUAGCUGAAGUGUCUAAUUAAAAACCAAAAAAGAUUUUAUUUGUUUGUCUUUGGUUGUGUCUCUUAAGUUAGGGUCAAUCUGUUAGUUAAUCGUUAAUUGUAGAAUCUGGACGAACUACGCACCCCUGAUUCUCCUCUCUCGGGAGUGAGAUACGUAGGCAACCUAUUUUGAUUUCGGGGAUCUUAUUUCAAAAAUUCAAAAAAAGAUUUUCUUCACUCUUCAUUUAGAGUAGAUGUUUCAUGUACAUCUUUAAAAGAAAACAACAAAAAAAUAUUUCCCUUUAAUAGGUUCAGGUUUCAUUUUCGUAUAAAUUCAAAAUCAAAAAUCCAAAAAUAUUUUUUUUGGUAAUCAUAGAUUUCAUUUUGUACAGAAAUCUGAAAAAUUCAAAAAGAUUUUCUUCACUCUUCAUUUAGAGUAGAUGUUUCAUGUACAUCUUUAAAAGAAAACAACAAAAAAAUAUUUCCCUUUAAUAGGUUCAGGUUUCAUUUUCGUAUAAAUUCAAAAUCAAAAACCCUAAAAAACUUUUCUUUGGUAAUCAUGGGUUUCAUUUUGUAUAGGGAUGUUAAGCCUAAAAAAUGCAAACAAAAAAGAUUUUCGUCAAUUCUUUUGACAAUUUGUUAUUUUCUUUUCUUCUUAAAGUUUCAAAAAGAAAAAAAAAGAAAACAAAGAGUUCAAUUGACCGUUUUGGCACGACUUCACGAACUACACACACCUGAUUCUCCUCUCUCGGGGGUGAGAUAUGUAGGUGCCCUUCUUGGGUUCGGUGAUCUUUUCAAGAAAAAAAAAGAGAGAGAGGUUUUGAAAAAUGUUGAACUCUAACAUAUUUGUUGCCUCUUGUUCAGUUAGUUUAAGGUGGUUGGUUUGUGGCUUCCUGGCUGGUCCUCCAUAUCACACCAAAUUCAAGGAGGGGUUAGUUGUGUCCAACAAGGAUAUAGAAAGUGGCAUCAUGGAUGAAACAAAGAGUAAAGAAAUUGAGAAUUUAAAGUAAGAGAAUUUGAGACUAAGACAACAAGUGAUGAAAAUGUAUAGAGCUUGGGCCAGUGGGCUGCCUCCAUCUCUGUUCCCCACUUUUGACCCUGCAAAUACCUUGAGUCUUGUACCAAAAUCGCAAAUUCAAUCUCCGUCUUCUUAUCUACAAUGGUAUGCACCUGUCCCUCAACAUCGUCCUCGACCCCCACGAAUUUACCAAGGAACCUCUAAAUCCAAGUUUCAUCCGAGGCUAGAGUUCACAAAGAGGAGGAAGGAAAAGGAUAAUUUCACUCCUAUUGAGGAUUCCUAUGCUAGUUUAUUCCAGAGAUUGAGAUAGAGGGCCAUGAUUACUCCUCUCCUUGGGUAUACACCUGACCCAUAUUCAAGAAAUUUUGAUCCUAAUGUACGAUGUGCAUAUCAUUAGGAUGUUCAGGGUCAUAGUAGUGAAGAUUGUCGUACUUUGAAAAGAGAAAUAGAAAAGAUAAUUCAAGAUAAAUUGAUUGUGGUGCAAAACAUUGGCCCUUCGACCAUCCCACAGGGUUCUUCACCAGCACGCGGUACUGCACAAUAUGUGGGAGGCAAUGAGUUAAGCAUGGGGAUCCAGAACUUAUUUGUUGAAGAAAAUAUGUCUGACAGUGGUGGAAGCUCUAGUCAUGCUGAUAUGCAAAUCAGUGGCUAAUAUGUCAGGCUGAGCAAUUGAGAAGUCACCCGUCUCCCUACAAGGAAGAGGUCUAGUAGUUUGUUUUCUUUUCUUUUCUAUUUUUUAAAUUAUUUCAGGGUUAUAGUUCGGGAUCUAUCUUGUUUUGUCCCUUUGUCAUUUAUGUUCAAACUUUUUUAUCUUUUGUUUCAAAUAUGUGUUGUUGGUUUGUUUUCUUUAUACAGUACAUUUUAUGUUGAUUCUAGUGAUAUAAUAUGCCUGCAAAAUUUUCAGUCUGAUCUUAAAAUCCCAGCUUAAUCAUGAAGCAUUGAAUCAGAGAGUUAAAGUUAGGAAAAGAGAGCAUAUGAGAAAAUAGAUAGAGUGUUGGGGCAUUUGGUGAUCAAGUUGAAGCCUUCUUUGAAAAUUAAGGCAAUUAUUUUGAGAAUCGUGAGAAUAACUUGGUUAGUAUUUGAAAGACAUGUUUCAAUUAGUUCAAACAGUGGAUGUGCGAUCCUACAUCAAAAGGAAUAGAAAAACUAGCUCCACGAAAGCAUGAGGAAUGUACAACAAAGUGGAGUUGUAUGUUAGGCAAGUGUAGAAAAACAAGUGGCACACAUGCUCGGGGCAAGUUAGUGUUGUAAAACAUUUCAUAAGUGAUCUUGAUCGUGCAAUUUCCCAUUGCAUGCUAUGUACUAGCAUUUUCAAGAAUUAAUAUGACGAAAGCAUUUCAUUCUGCUUUCCAAAUAUUGCGUCAUCCUUUGUUUACCCCCAUUUGGGCCUUAGUGUUAUUUUCUUUCAUACCCCUCUUUUGGAAUCAAGAUAGAGUCAACAAAAUUCAAAAAAUGUAUCGAAAAAGAAAGAAAAGAUGAGUGUCAAGAAAAAUAAAGUCAGAAAAGUCCCAAAGAGAAAAAGAGUCGACAAAAGAAAAAAAUACAAUCAAGUGAAAGAACAAGCUGCCAGAAAUACGCAUGACCUGAUUCUCCUCUCUCGAUAGUGAGAUACGUAGGCUGCCCUACUCAGGGCUCGGUUCCAAGCAAAUAAAUAAUUUAGAAUUGCCCAGUCAAAAACUGGGGCUUGAGUUAAUCCUCAUUGUUUGAGUCGAUUCCAAAAGUUGAAAGUCCUACCCCACUUUUAGUAUUGUUUGGGCCCCAUGCCAUCUUUUAUUUUCAACCCUAUCCAAAAGCCAAGUUACAACCAAAGAAAGACCUUCAGAUCAAUCUUUGAGAAUGUUAAGGCUAAGUAUGCAAUGGAUGUGAUGACACAUUUUGGGAACUACUCGUCUUCCUCAGCAUAAAAAAUCAGGAGAGAAAUAAAAAUGAGAGAGUUUUAUUGGUGAAAACCCUCACGGACACCAUAAGGCGAUGGUAAGUUGAGACAGAUAAAAAUAAAAGAGUAUUAUUGGUGAAAACCCUCAUGGGCACCAUAAGAUGAUGGUGAUUUGAGAGAAAAAUGAGAGAGGCUUGUUGGAGAAAACCCUUCAAGGUGCCACUAGCCGAAUAAGGUCUCUGAAUGCAAUGGGUCUAAGUAAGAAACUCAGUUUCAGGGUCAUUAACUCAACAACAAUUGGUAGAAAGUUUUGAUGAAAAGAUCAGGUUGCUUAAUCCAAAAUGCACAGUAUUAUUAUUAGAGUUGACUGUCAUUUUUAGAUUAAUUUAUUGUUUCUUUGUUUCAAAUGAGGAUAUUUAUUGUCUUUCCUUUCUUUUCUUUAUUUUUGUUUUAUCUUUCUUGAGUCAGUUAUUCAAAUAAAAAAAUUGUCAUUCUUUUUUUUUCUUUUCUUGUCUUUGAGCCAAGUCCAUGUCAAAACAAGUGAGAAAAGAUUUUAAAACUGGCUACCAGUUUCUUCAAUUGUACAAAGCAAGACAAAAGGGACAGCACAUGAAAAGACAUGAUUGUGAGCCGAAAUAAGGCAUACAAAAAUUAUGUCAAUAGACAAGUUUGGGAACUCAUGAAAAUACCAAGGUUCAAAGGGUUUAUAUGAUGAGCAUGGCGAAGCAGAGAUACCGUGUUUGUUUCAGAGUCACUCUUAAUAAUCUGAGUUUGGGUCAACGAUGCAGCAAGUCAAUGAUAAAUGCUUAUGGUUGGAAGCAAGGUUAAAUGUGAUGGGGCAAGAGCGAUCGUCGUGGAAGCUAAAGCCACAAACCAGCCACCGUGUUUUAAACUCACAAGUUUUCUUUGAUGAAAUAGGAAACAUAUUACCUUCAAUGCAAGGACUUCAGAGCAUAAAUAUCUAGGCCUGCAAUGCCUCACUUUUAAAUAUGCAUGAAGCAAUGUUGCUGCAAAGGUUUGGUAAUCAAAUCAUGGUAAAAUUCAUCAUCUUAUAUCCCUCGGAGACACACUUUUUUAUCCAGGGAUGUCAGUUUUCAUUUGCUGGGUGAUACACUUCUUAAAUUGAUCCUUCACUCCUAAAAGACGUACCUUUUAGUCGAGUCAUUCCCUUUGAUUCCUAUAAGACGUACCUUUUAGUCGAGUCAUCCCCUUUGACCCCUAAAAGACGUACCUUUUAGUAGAGUCAUUUCCUUUGAUUAAGACGUACCUUUUAGUAGAGUCAUUUCCUUUAAUUCCUAUAAGACGUACCUUUUAGUCGAGUCAUUCCUCUUGACCCCUAGAAGAUGUACCUUUUAGUCGAGUCAUUCCUUUGAUUCUUAUAAGACGUACCUUUUAGUUGAGUCAUUCCUCUUGACCCUUAGAAGACGUACCUUUUAGUAGAGUCAUUUCCUUUAAUUCCUAUAAGACGUACCUUUUAGUCGAGUCAUUCCUCUUGACCCCUAGAAGACGUACCUUUUAGUCGAGUCAAUUUCCCUGAUUCCUAUAAGACGUAUCUUUUAGUCGAGUCAUUCCCUUGAUUUCUAUAAGACGUACCUUUUAGUCGAGUCAUUCCCUUUGAUUCUUAUAAGACUUACCUUGUAGUCUAGUCAUCUCCCUUGAUUCCUAUAAGAUGUACCUUUUAGUCGAGUCAUUCCCCUUGAGGCCUUAACCCAUAGAAAACGUACCUUUUAGUUGAGUCAUCUCCCUUGAUUCCUAUAAGACGUACCUCUUAGUCGAGUCAUUUCCUUUGAUUUCUAUAAGACGUACCUUUUAGUUGAGUCAUCACCCCUUGAUUCCUAUAAGACAUACCUUACUUUCACAAAAGUCCUUUGAUGAUAAACUGGGGCAAAAUUUAAUUCUUGUUUUUGGAACUUUACUUUUCUGGCAAACGAAAUUUCUCUUUAUGAUAAUCUUUGUUUGGGAUAAUUUUUUUUCAGUUUUGAUAUGAUUUCAAGAGCCCGCCUGAAGAACAAGGUGAUGAGAUAGAAAGUCAGGAGCCCACCUGAAGAACAGGGGUGAUGAAAUGGCAAGUCAGGAACCUACCUGAAGAAUAGGGUGAUUAAAUAGUAAGUCAGGAGCCCAACUGAAAAACAGGGCGGAUAAAUGGAAAAUCAAGAACAAGGUGAAAAAGUUGAAAAGACAAGCAACAAGGUGAAGCAAUUGAAAGCCAAGCAACAAGUUGAAGAAAUUGCAAAUCAGGAGCCCGCCUGAAGAAUAGGGUGAUGAAACUCAAGUCAAGAGUCCAAAAGAAGAUGCAUAGAUAGGAUUUUUGUAAUUCCAUUUAUGUUUUUAACUCGUAAUUUUCAUUUUGAUGUAAUGACAGAGCUGUGGACCGGAACCUCGAUGGAACCUCACUCGACUCUCCAACUUAGUAUAGUCCUUCUCUUUCAAAUAUUUUGAAAUACCGGUCACUUGAUUCAUUCAUAACUUGGGUAGAUAGGUUGUCCUAAGUCAGGACUCGGUUGUCAUUCUUCCUUCUGUUCCUUCCUUUGAAUAAUGGUCGGGUCAAAAUUCUAUCUCAUUGUCUACUAUUUUGUCUGAAAACACUUCGUGUUUACAUUCAAAGGGGGCAUGAUGUAGACACCUAAUUUUGUCCCUCCCGAAGACCCAAGUUACACA
rnacentral:lncRNA from 1 species